UACGGAGGAUCCAAGCGUUAUCCGGAUUUAUUGGGUUUAAAGGGUGCGUAGGUGGGAUGAUAAGUCAGAGGUGAAAGCUAGCAGCUUAACUGUUAAAUUGCCUUUGAUACUGUUAUUCUUGAGUAUAGUUGGCGUUGGCGGAAUGUGACAUGUAGCGGUGAAAUGCGUAGAUAUGUCACAGAACACCGAUCGCGAAGGCAGCUAACGAAACUAUCACUGACACUGAUGCACGAAAGCGUGGGGAGCAAACAGGAUUAGAUACCCUCGUAGUCC
rnacentral:rRNA from 1 species